UGGGUAGUCCGCACGAGCGCACCCCUAUCCUUAUUUGCCAGCACGUAAUGGUGGGAACUCUAGGGAGACUGCCGGUGAUAAACCGGAGGAAGGUGGGGACGACGUCAAGUCAUCAUGGCCCUUACGAGUAGGGCUACACACGUGCUACAAUGGCGUAUACAGAGGGUUGCAAAGCCGCGAGGUGGAGCUAAUCUCACAAAGUACGUCGUAGUCCGGAUCGGAGUCUGCAACUCAACUCCGUGAAGUCGGAAUCGCUAGUAGUCGUGGAUCAGAAUGCCACGGUGAAUACGUUCCCGGGCCUUGUACACACCGCCCGUCACACCAUGGGAGUGGGCUGCAAAAGAAGUGGGUAGUUUAACCUUCGGGAGAACGCUCACCACUUUGUGGUUCAUGACUGGGGUGAAGUCGUAACAAGGUAGCCCUAGGGGAACCUGGGGCUGGAUCACCUCCUU
rnacentral:rRNA from 1 species